rnacentral:rRNA from 1 species
UACGAAGGGGGCUAGCGUUGCUCGGAAUCACUGGGCGUAAAGGGUGCGUAGGCGGGUCUUAAGUCAGGGGUGAAAUCCUGGAGCUCAACUCCAGAACUGCCUUUGAUACUGAAGAUCUUGAGUUCGGGAGAGGUGAGUGGAGCUGCGAGUGUAGAGGUGAAAUUCGUAGAUAUUCGCAAGAACACCAGUGGCGAAGGCGGCUCACUGGCCCGAUACUGACGCUGAGGCACGAAAGCGUGGGGAGCAAACAGGG